rnacentral:misc_RNA from 1 species
CGCCUCGAUCCGACAUUUCGUAAGCUCGUGGACAGUAUUUAUGCGCGCAUGACGCAGCGUCCCGAACAGCGCGCGCCGGCUGUUGAGGGGCUUCACGGCACGGGCGGCGGGGUGGGGCUGNCUGGUGCUGAACCACGUCUCAUCCAAUGUGCUUUCUGGCCUAAUCGAGACAUUGGCAGGGCCUCCAUACAAUGGGCACGCCGAUUUGCCAGUCCUUGCUGAAAGUCUGCAGCUCGAAGCGGAUGAACUCUUCCACCUCAGUGAAUCCCUGCAGUUAUUGAGGUUUGCCCAGUUAAGCGAAGGCGAUCUGAUGCUGACGGAGGCGGGCAAA